UACAGAGACCUCAAGCGUUAUCCGGAAUCAUUGGGCGUAAAGCGUACCGAUAGGUGGUUUGGUUAGUCUUGGGUGAAAUCCCGAAGCUCAACUUCGGGUUUGCUUAAGAUACUGCCAGACUAGAGGGGUAAAGAGGAGAUUGGAACGAGCGGUGUAGUAGUGAAAUGCGUUGAUAUCGUUCGGAACACCGAAAGCGAAGGCAGAUCUCUGGGUACCUCCUGACACUGCUAGGACGAAAGCGUGGGUAGCGAAUGGG
rnacentral:rRNA from 1 species